GGAAUAUUGGGCAAUGGGCGCAAGCCUGACCCAGCCAUGCCGCGUGCAGGAUGACGGCGCUAUGCGUUGUAAACUGCUUUUGUACAGGAAGAAACCCAUCUACGUGUAGGUGGUUGACGGUACUGUCAGAAUAAGCAUCGGCUAACUCCGUGCCAGCAGCCGCGGUAAUACGGAGGAUGCAAGCGUUAUCCGGAUUCAUUGGGUUUAAAGGGUGCGUAGGCGGAAUACUAAGUCAGUGGUGAAAUCCUGCAGCUUAACUGUAGAACUGUCAUUGAUACUGGUAUUCUUGAAUGCAGUUGAGGUAGGCGGAAUGUGUAAUGUAGCGGUGAAAUGCUUAGAUAUUACCCAGAACACCGAUUGCGAAGGCAGCUUACUAAACUGUGAUUGACGCUGAGGCACGAAAGCGUGGGGAGCAAACAGGAUUAGA
rnacentral:rRNA from 1 species